CACAUACUCCCUCCGUCUCAAAAUUAUUGUCUUGAAUUUGUCUAGAUAUGGAUGUAUGUAGUCACGUUUUAGUAUUUAAAUGCAUCCAUAUCUAAAAACAUCUAAGACAAGAAUUUUGGAACGGAGGGGUACUUU
rfam:Hordeum vulgare subsp. vulgare, WGS project CAJW01000000 data, contig: morex_contig_1562040